UUAUAAUUUGAUCGCCCGACGUAAUCGCCUCGUGGUUGCACGGUUGAACUACAUACAUCGUCACAGAAGCGCACAGAAAGGCACAAGGUGUCCCUGUGCUUCUGAAGUGGAAUAUGGACAGCAUGAGUCGUCAUUUGGCUCUGGUGCCAGUGGAGAAGCGCAUUCGAACUGGCACGCAGGCUUGCCUGUACCCUCUGGGAGAUGCGCCCAUGCUGCAUUACGGUCUGUUUGCAGUGCCGGGGGGUCCUAGUGGAGAUGGCCUAGGUUGGCCAGAGGUUGGUCUUCAUCGGAAGGCAAGAUGAAUCGGGAGCAAGAGUAGCAUGCCUCCUUUCUUGAUUCCAUGGUGCACGGACCUAGGCUGUCUUUAUGAAGCAUACAUGAAGGGGCUCAACAAGGUCCAAAGCCAGGGGUUCCAUUACAGGGCCCUAUCUCUACAAGGGUGGUCCACAGGGACACCACGCCAAGCCUAGCGUCCGAACCAUGAGCAGGUUGGAGGUGGGAGCCCUGUCGCUGCUCCGUAUGCCACUUGUGAACCCCUGGUCCCCUCUGACUGGGGUGAAGGGUUCGUCCCCAAGUAGGGUCUGGACCAGCACUCCGGCCUCAAUCCUCAAGCCCUGCGUCCCCUGCCUGUGUCGCCGUCCGCAUGGAGACUCCUCCGACGCUGCUUGCGUUGCCAGCCAGAGCCUGCCCUAGCCCAGGGGUGUUGCAGUGGAGGAACAACCCUGGGGACUGUACUGCACCCCAAACUCUGCAAAUCUCCAGCUUCGAAGUUGAGGACUCGGACGAAGAAGACGAACAUGUCGGGCACAAGGGUGAUCGGCAGCUGCCGUGUCUCGGUCCGGAUGUAACCAAAACUACUUUGGGAGAUAAGCGGAGUCUGGACACGAGCUUGAUUGCCAUAAAAGAAGGGCCAUCAUAUCCUUUCCUCAAGUGGGAAUCUCCAGGAAAGAGCCCAGAGCGUCUCACUCCCGUGGUGUCCUCGUACUCCUUCGACACUUCGUUAGGAAAGAGUACGAGCACCCCGUUGCAGUCAGGACGAGGCGAAAGUCGAUCCAAGCCUCUUCAAGGUCAGUGCGGAGUAUGUGUCGCGGUGGAAGCGUCGACCCGUCGAGUCUGAUGUCAACUUGAAAGUUGAGGAUUUUGAGCUCGAAAAAGGAACCGCCUAGUGCUCUCUCCGUCGCAAGGAGAGACUCGCCACUUUAUAUCAAAGAGAUAGAUAUAUUGAUGCAGCAUACUAGCGCAUCAAUGAGAGGUUUAAAUGCUUAGAAGGCGAAAUUAGGACGAGUGAACCACAUCUCACUGAUAAGGUGCACACUUUACAGAACCGCAUGCAGGAGCUUAUGCUUCGAUUAAUUAAAAACAGAGCGUGUUGGUAAGGAUAAUUUUAAACACAAAAGAAUAAACAAAUAGUGGGGAGCACAAAACAUGACAUCUUCAUCUCCAUUGGACUUGCGGCACUAGAAAAAAACAUGUCCUGUUGCUAAAAGACAAUGUUAAUAAAAAGAGCGAGCUGGUUAACGUUACACAUGAUUCUAACCGGAGACGACGAACGACAAGGGGGCAAGGGACAAACACACACGUCUCAACUAGGGAUGCUGCAAACUUUUAGCGAACCCGAGGCUCGAAGGUCGAACCAAGGGGUUCGAAAGGUUCAUGAAGUUUCGAAACGUCAAACUUAUUACAUCAGAAAUUCUACGAUUUUCGAACUUACAAACUUUUUUUGCUGAGAAAUUCAAUUGUUUUCAAACUUCUGAUUUUUGGCGCUAUACAAUUCAACAAUUUCGAACUUCUCACGCUAAGAAAUUCAACGAUUUUCAAACUUUCGAACCUGUUAAUUACGUUCAAAAGUUGGACGAGCUUCAAACUUCUAAACAAAAAAGUUAGACGAAGUUCGGACCAAGUUCACCCCCAUAGGUUCAAGGCAACAAAUAUAAAUAACAUAAGGUGUCAAUGUGUGAAAUAGAGUUGAAAUUGCACUGGAGUCUUGCUUACCUGGUCGUGCCACAAACGACUUGCUUGUAAAGCGCUGAAUGAUAACUUUGGGGUGGCCUUGACGAGCUCGCACCUUUUUCUUUCGACUUCUGCACGGAUCCUUUCCCGCGCACAACUCCGUAGGUUUCCCCGAGGUAACAUGCGGGCCAACAGAUCACUGAUCUACAUAUGCAAAAACAUAGUAGCGCUUCUGACGAGGACAAAGUAGGAGAAUGAACAACACAAAAUGGCGACUUCAGCUGUUUAGGUCAGUGCUCUGUGUUGUCCAGUCUCCUACUUUGUCCUCGUCUGAAGCGCUACUAUGUUUUUUUAAUACCCAGUAGCAACUCGCUCAACAAUCUGUCCUGAUCUGCAUGCUUGAAAUUCAACCGAGGCACUUCGCUGUGAGCGUCCUUCAUAGCAUUAGUUGUUUUUGAAAACAAGUUCCCCGAUUUUCUUGAGUCAAGGAAAGGCGUGCACGGAGCGCGACACCGAUGCGCUACAACAAACGCUGAAUUGGCACUUACUUCAUCGUUUUUAGUAAACGGCUGCAUUUUAGAGUGGCCAAUCUAUAUUCAUAGAAGUUCCAAGCAACAGCAAUAUGGUUAGCCCGAUAACAACCGGUCGUGACCUGGUCAGCUGUAUUCUAGGGGCCGGGUGGUCCCCUAAUUUAGUCUGGUUGCAUUCUCCUCAAACUUGACUUUUGUCGGGUGCUGUGCCUGUGUUCAGUGUUUUCCCCAUCCCAUGGGUCAUCCCGCCGAAAACAAACGCCCAGAGCAACUAAAUAUUUUCGGGAAGCCUGAAUGAAUGCCUUUAUAUUCAAGCGUUGUCCUGUAUACAAAACAUUUUGAAAUUCGCAUACUUUAGGGAACGCAAAUAUUUCUAUAGUCUGUAGAAGCGAAUUCCAGCCUUUAGAAUUCGUGAAAUUUAAUGGUUGCGAAUAUGACCCCCGCUGCUCAAUUGGCGAAAAAUCGGGGCCGCAAAAAUAAAGGGUUUUACUUUACUAUUUAGCUACCUUAUACCAGCAUCCCAUUUAUGUGACAUUUGAUCUGAUUGCUGCUAGUUUGCAAAUAAGUAGAACGUAUGUUCACCUAACAGACUCGGGGCUUUUUGAUGAACCGCUCAACCAGUUCAACGCUUGUUUCAUAAGUUACAACAAAUAAUGAGUAGUACAUGUAGUACCGUCACUACCACAGCACGGAGAAGGAAGGAGUAUUCGCAACUCCAACGCCCUAUAGAUGGUGGGGCGGAAGUUCCAAGAUGGCGGAAGAGACGGGGAUAGAUUCUUCAUGCGCCUGCUUGCUGAUGCUGGUCAGUGUGCUUAAAUUGAUUUAUUUGGCUUCAAAUGCUAAACGGUCAGGGCAGGAGCGUAUCACAGGUGACGGAGAUGUUGACAUUCGUUAGGAAAAUGAGCACGUUUUCUUAGAAGUUGCGGAAACAUCACAGAACUUCUGAUCUAGGGAGAGCGUAUUUUUGGCGCCGGUCACGUCAAUGUGUGUGGUAGAAUAUUUUUGUGGGUGGUGAAAAUAUUGUGGUGUUUGCGCUGUGCCUGGCCGCCAGUACUCUAAAAUGUGAGCCGCGCAGGGUGACUCAAGCUCCUCUGGAACUGCGCUCAAAGUACUGAUAUCUCUGUGUCAGAGGCUUACCGUCACAAUUUUAGUGCAUUGCAACACGUGAUCAUCCUGCGCCAUGGUUGCUAAGAGGUAGUUUUAGAAUAGCGUAACUUCAGGCUACCGCACGGUCGGGCAUUGCGACCAGAAGUUCGUGCUGCAGCUUUGAAGCAUUAGCAUUGCCGUGCCUACAGUAGCCUGCGAUAACGCUGUACAAGAACUGCAUAAUAAUGCAAUCGGCACGUUUAUGGUUUUUAUUUAUUGCUCUGUUAAAGUAAAUAUUCAAAUAUACAGUUUUCUUCACCUGCGUACCGUUAUUUGCACCGACGCGACUCGCCUCGCCAAAACUGCCUGUUCUAAGCUUGCCUCACGAUCGGCCGAAAAUUUCUUCGAGCAUUUCCUUAUUUAUUUUUGUAAUUCACUGAAAGCAGGUAUGCAUAGUCUGCCUUUUACACUAGUGCUUGGAGCAAACUGUUGUGUUCCUUGUCACGGCCUUUCAGUGCAUAAAAUGCGAACCCAUUCCAUAUGUCGCUCUUGCCUACUUUCUGGAAAGAAAAGACUAUGCGUAAAUCGUACCCAAGAGCUUUGCACUACUAGCGGGAGCUUAAAUUUUGCCGUCACAUUGAGCACAGAUUGUGAUGGUGUAAGCAAGACUCGAAGUUUCAUGAAAUGAGACUUACGAGUCCUUCGUGCAACGCUGUUGCGAAGUGGACCACAAAUAUUCUUAUUUCAACGCACUUGGCUUUUUCGUGUAUACUUAUCGAAAACCAAGCUCUGUAACAUCCAGAAGGGCAACAGUAUAAAUAAAUAAAUAAAUAAAAAUUGCAUGAUGCACAAACACUCCCUCCAGAACAACAGCGCCAAGGCCGACAGUCCCUGCCACCGUCUCUGCCGUUGUCCUUACUCCUCUGGUUCUUUCUUCGUCCGCAAGAGGGUGAGCGAUGGGCUGGAGUUACGAAUAUUCACCGCAUAAAAGAAAUGGGCAACAUUUUCAGUAAAAUUCGUAGCACAGUUGCAAUUUUUAUAUAAUUCAUGGAAACUUAGUUUGAAUUUGCGGAAUUUGAUCUCCGUCCAUGAAAUUCACACUUCAAACUUAAAACAGAACUUUCAACCUUGUACACAUCACGACACUGUUAGCGCGAACAGGACAUCGGUGCAUUUUCGCCUUUUACUUCUCAAUAGUAUUAGCGAGCACAAACUUUUAUUGCUUACAUAAUAGAACUAAAUGAGAUCUUUC